AGUGAACGCUGGCGGUAGGCCUAACACAUGCAAGUCGAACGGCAGCACAGUAAGAGCUUGCUCUUACGGGUGGCGAGUGGCGGACGGGUGAGGAAUACAUCGGAAUCUACUUUUUCGUGGGGGAUAACGUAGGGAAACUUACGCUAAUACCGCAUACGACCUACGGGUGAAAGCACGGGAUCUUCGGACCUUGCGCGAUUGAAUGAGCCGAUGUCGGAUUAGCUAGUUGGCGGGGUAAAGGCCCACCAAGGCGACGAUCCGUAGCUGGUCUGAGAGGAUGGUCAGCCACACUGGAACUGAGACACGGUCCAGACUCCUACGGGAGGCAGCAGUGGGGAAUAUUGGACAAUGGGCGCAAGCCUGAUCCAGCCAUACCGCGUGGGUGAAGAAGGCCUUCGGGUUGUAAAGCCCUUUUGUUGGGAAAGAAAAGCAGCAGGUUAAUACCCCGCUGUUCUGACGGUACCCAAAGAAUAAGCACCGGCUAACUUCGUG
rnacentral:rRNA from 1 species